rnacentral:lncRNA from 1 species
UAACCGAGCCAAAACAGAAAAAAAGAUUAGAUAGAAAUGAAGAAAGGAAAAAUGAAGACUUUUAAAAUAUAAACCAAUCUGUCCAACCUGAUAUGUAUGGUGGAAUCCAAUUGAUUUUUACUUCAAGCAUUAGAUCGUCUGUCUUAGUUAAGAGGAGUCAUGAACAUUACAGGUUCAAAAUCACGAUCAAUUCCUUUUUCAA